rnacentral:rRNA from 1 species
GAUGAACGCUGGCGGCGUGCCUAAUACAUGCAAGUCGAGCGAACGGACGAUAAGCUUGCUUCUCUGAUGUUAGCGGCGGACGGGUGAGUAACACGUGGAUAACCUACCUAUAAGACUGGGAUAACUUCGGGAAACCGGAUCUAAUACCGGAUAAUAUUUUGAACCGCAUGGUUCAAUAGUGAAAGACGGUCUUGCUGUCACUUAUAGCUGGAUCCGCGCUGCAUUAGCUAGUUGGUAAGGUAACGGCUUACCAAGGCAACGAUGCAUAGCCGACCUGAGAGGGGGAUCGGCCACAAUGGAACUGAGACACGGUCCAGACUCCUAAGGGAGGCAGCAGUAGGGAAGGGUACGCAAUGGGCGAAAGCCUGACGGAGAAACGCCGAGUGAGUGAUGAAGGUCCUCGGAUCGUAAAACUCUGUUAUUAGGGAAGAACAGAUGUGGAAGUAACUGUGCACAUCUUGACGGUACCUAAUCAGAAAGCCACGGCUAACUACGUG